ensembl:lncRNA
GAUCCAGCUGUCAGUGAUCCAGCUGCCAGGGCUCUAACUGUCAAUGCUUCAGUACUGGAUGGAAAUACAAGUCCUCAAACACGCCGUAACCUUGUCAUCAUGGCCGCCAGUUCUCCCGUUGUGGUCGUGAUACUCUUCUAUGCAAUAGCCCGGGGAUGUGGUGCAACGAACAGCGAAAUCUUAGUAUGUCUUGCUCUAUGCUGUUAUCUCAGAGCGGUAUGAUGUCAGCUGCUUCAAAUUACUGAAUAAAAGGGUUUGGUCUUUGCUCUUUGGGUAUUAAAUAUUUUUUAUUCAUCCUGUGUUUUAAAUAUAUACUAUCUUUUAGCACACUUGUUAUAUCUGUC